UUCUGAAGAUCAGGAGUAGAGAUCACAAAACGAAAAACUUGGUGUCAGUAACAUGUCUUGAGGAGCUAAUCAGAGUUGCUGUGGGUCAUUGAAUUUGUCAGGAAGGCGACAUACAGGUGUAUUUAGUGGAUGAGUUAUCACUUCGCUGUAUGGUUGCUGGUGCUGAGAAAUGCCUCGAUGACAUUUUCAUUGUUAAAAAUGGACUAUGGAAACAAGAUCAGUCAACAUGUGUGAGUGCACCUUCACCAAUCCCACAACUGCCUCUGCUCUCACGAAUUUAUUACCCUUGGGAGAGCCUCAGCAAGACAGUACUUGAUGCAUUGGAAGCAGACAAUGUUCUGCUCCCCUCUCAACGACAGGAAGUGGCACACAUGGCAGCGUCAUGGCCCUGCAUAUCCAUUGAAGGUGGGAGGUACUCCUGAUAAUUAUUCACAGGCACCUGGUUGGUAUCAUUGAGAACGAAGGGAGCCAGCAGGCACAAAAAGAUCAAGAGGGCUACAUACAUAAAUGCGUGAGGCAAUGAGGGCAGCAGAUGAA